rnacentral:rRNA from 1 species
GCCGAAACGUGCGAACGUUAUUCGGAAUCACUGGGCUUAAAGCGCGUGUAGGCGGGACGGCACGUCGGCCGUUGAAAUCCCCCGGCUCAACCGGGGAAGGGGCGCCGAUACGACCGUCCUGGAGGAACGUAGGGGGAGCUGGAACUUCCGGUGGAGCGGUGAAAUGCGUUGAGAUCGGAAGGAACGCCCGUGGCGAAAGCGAGCUCCUGGACGUUUUCUGACGCUGAGACGCGAAAGCCAGGGGAGCGAACGGG